UACGUAGGGGGCUAGCGUUGCUCGGAAUCACUGGGCGUAAAGCGCACGUAGGCGGGCUCUUAAGUCGGUGGUGAAAUCCUGGAGCUCAACUCCAGAACUGCCUCCGAUACUGAGAGUCUUCGAGUCCGGGAGAGGUGAGUGGAACUGCGAGUGUAGAGGUGAAAUUCGUAGAUAUUCGCAAGAACACCAGUGGCGAAGGCGGCUCACUGGCCCGGUACUGACGCUGAGGUGCGAAAGCGUGGGGAGCAAACAGG
rnacentral:rRNA from 1 species